UACGAAGGGGGCUAGCGUUGCUCGGAAUCACUGGGCGUAAAGGGUGCGUAGGCGGGUCUUUAAGUCAGGGGGGAAAUCCUGGAGCUCAACUCCAGAACUGCCUUUGAUACUGAAGAUCUUGAGUUCGGGAGAGGUGAGUGGAACUGCGAGUGUAGAGGUGAAAUUCGUAGAUAUUCGCAAGAACACCAGUGGCGAAGGCGGCUCACUGGCCCGGAACUGACGCUGAGACGCGAAAGCGUGGGGAGCAAACAGG
rnacentral:rRNA from 1 species